rnacentral:rRNA from 1 species
GUACACACCGCCCGUCGCUACUACCGAUUGGAUGGUUUAGUGAGGUCCACGGAUUCUCCGGCCCUGCGUAUACGAGAAGUGGAACAAACUUGAUCAUCUAAAGGAAGUAAAAGUCGUAAGAAGGUUUCCGUAGGUGAACCUGCAGAAGGAUCA